UUCCUACGGGGGCAGCAGUGAGGAAUAUUGGUCAAUGGGAGGAAUCCUGAACCAGCCAUGCCGCGUGCAGGACGACGGCUCUACGAGUUGUAAACUGCUUUUGUACCGGGGUAAAAUGCCUUACGAGUAGGGUUUUGAAAGUACGGUACGAAUAAGGAUCGGCUAACUCCGUGCCAGCAGCCGCGGUAAUACGGAGGAUGCGAGCGUUAUCCGGAUUUAUUGGGUUUAAAGGGUGCGCAGGCGGCACGGCAAGCCGGCGGUCAAAUCGCGGGGCUCAACCCCGCCCAGCCGUCGGACCUGCCGGG
rnacentral:rRNA from 1 species